ACCAAUAGGCCCUAAUCUAGGGGGUUGGUUUAAUGGCUGGUUCUUUCAUUAAUCCCAGUUUAACCGGAGGUCCAAAAUAAGGUUUUGGGCCAAGUUUUUUUCUUCAGGAUCCAGAAACAUGGGAAAGAAAUAAAAAAUAUUAUUAAAAUUCCAAUAUCACCCUACAAUCAUUUUUUUCAGAUAUGAAAUUCUUCUUCUACUCUCUUUUUCUUCUGCUCGCAUAAAGCUCUUCGAUGGAGAUCGGAGAAAACCCCAUCAAAAAUAUUAUUAAAAUUCCAACAUUACCCUACAAUCAUUUUUUUCAGAUAUGAAAUUCUUCUUCUUCUUCUUUCUUUUUCUUCUGCUCGCAUAGCUCAAUGGAGGUUGAAGAAAAAGCCAUCAAAAAGUAUCGUCAUCGAGUAUUGUUGAAUCAUCAACAGAACUCAACAAAGAAGAUAUGUUUAAUCGUUUUUCAAAAAAUAAAUCUCCCAUCUAUGUUUUUUUCUGUCAAUUCUUUCUUGAACUAAAGCUCCGACGAUGAAGAUUUUUUUGUAACCUUUGAUUGUUUUGCGAAAUCAAGCUGGAUUACUUGUAUUUGUUCCUUCUUCAAUUGAGAAAAAGUUGAAAGAGAUCCACCUUUACAUUUACAAAGUUUGUAAGAAGUGCAGCUGAUAUGUACUCAAUUUGUGAACGGUGCAGAGGAUAUGUACUUGAAUUUGUAAAUAGUGUAGCCGAAAUGUAUUCGAUUUCUAAGCAGUGAAGCAAAUAUGUUUUUGGUAAGCAGUGCACAAGACCAAUUCAGGAUGGCCUUGAGUUACUAAUUACUAGUAGGCGACGAGCAGUGGAGGUCCAAGUAGAUAUGAAUAAUUAUAUCAUAUGUAUCUAAAACGAACGAUCAUUAUUGAAUUUAGUUCAUUGCAAUUUUUUUGUCUCAUUUUUGAUACAUGUUUCUGGUCUGUAAUAUAAAAAAAGUGCCAGUGUGCCAUUUGCAGAACAAAAAAUUAGUGUUGUGACUAUGUUUUACGGGCCUAAUAUAGCUUUAUUUCUUUCCUUUA